AGACCCGUGGUGUAACGGUAGCACAAGUGAUUUUGGUUCACUUUGUCGGGGUUCGAAUCCCUGCGGGUCUA
rnacentral:tRNA from 4 species